rnacentral:piRNA from 1 species
GCAAGUUUGAGGUUAAUUGGGUUUUAAGA